rnacentral:lncRNA from 10 species
CACCCCUAGGUUCCGGAAAAAGCCUGGUCCCGCCAUCCCUGGGGGAAAAGGAGCAAUAUUUAUUGCAUAACAGAACCUGGCAUUGUGACAAGUGCUUACAUAGACCAUUAGGAUGGUUCCCAUUUUCCAGAUAUCUACUGAGGUGCUACUGCAUACCAGGCACUGCACUAGAUGCUGGGGAAACAGUCACGAGCAAGAAAGACAAGGUCCCUGUCCUCACAGUGGGAGAGCAAGGCGUAAAAUAUGUCCAGAUGGUAAUGAGUGCUAAACUGCAAGGAAAAAGACACACAAGAGACCAACUCACACAAUCAAUGAAAGCCCAAGAUGAAGAACUUGAGACCCAGAGAAGACAAGCAGCUUCCUCAAGAUCAUGUAGCUCUUGCUGGGGAAAGCCAAGCUGAAGGCUCAUCUGUGUGGCUCUAAGGCUCCUGCCAGGAUCCGUGGUUCAGGUCCAUGUUUCCAUGGUAUAUUCAUUUCCCAGGGCUGCUGAAACAAGGUACCAGCAUCCAGGUAGCUCAGAACAACAGCACUUUAUUCUCUCAUGGUUCUGGAGGCCAGAAGUUGAAGCCAAGGUGUCAGCAGGGCCACGCUGCCUCUGGAGGCUCGAGGGGAGAAUGCUUCCUUGCCUCCUCUAGCUGCUGGGAACUACUGGUGAUCCUUGACUUGUGGUCUUGUGGCUGCAUCACUCUAAACUCAGCUUUAGUGGCCACAUCACCUACUCCUCAUGUAGCAAGUCUCUUUCUCUUAUAAAGACACUUGUCAUUGGAUUUAGGACCCACCUAGAUAAUCCAGGAUGAUGUCAUUUCAAGAUCUUUAAUUCUUUUUUUGCCUUCUUUUGAGACAGAGGCUUGCUCUGUUGCCCAGGCUGGAAUGCAGUGGCGCUGUAUCGGCUCACUGCAACCUCCACCUCCCAGUUCAAGCGAUUCUCCUGCCCCAGUCUCCUGAGUAGCUGGGAUUACAGGUGCUCACCACCAUGACCAGCUAAUUUUUGUAUUUUUAGUAGAAAUGGGGUUUUGCCAUGUUGGCCACGCUGGUCUUGAACUCCUGACCUCAGGUGAUCCUCCAAUCUCAGCUUCCCAAAGUGCUGGGAUUACAGGCAUGAGCCACUGCACCCAGCCCCUUAACUUAAUUCUAUCUGCAAAGACCCUUUUCCCAAAUAAAGUCACACUGACAGGUUCCAGGGAUUUGACAUGGACAUAUCUUUUGGGGGGCCACCUUUCAACCCACCACACAUGACAUGCAGAUGAAGGCUGGAAAGAAACAGAGGGAGCUUCCUGGAGGAGGUAAGAGGAGAGCUGGCCCUGAAGCUGGAAGACCAGAGGGAGGCUCCUACUGCCCUGUUCUGGGCCCAGAAGAGAAUACAUUGAAGAGUAAGCUCAUGAGAAAACAC